rnacentral:rRNA from 1 species
UAGCCGUAAACGAUACUCGCUAGGUGUCGGCCACGGUGCGACCGUUGUCGGUGCCGUAGGGAAGCCGUGAAGCGAGCCACCUGGGAAGUACGGCCGCAAGGCUGAAACUUAAAGGAAUUGGCGGGGGAGCACAACAACGGGUGGAGCUUGCGGUUUAAUUGGACUCAACGCCGGGAAGCUCACCGGAUAAGACAGCGGAAUGAUUGCCGGGCUGAAGACCCUGCAUGACCAGCUGAGAGGAGGUGCAUGGCGUAGACGUCU